CCUACGGGGGGCAGCAGUGAGGAAUAUUGGUCAAUGGGCGGAAGCCUGAACCAGCCAAGUCGCGUGAGGGAAUAAGGCCCUACGGGUCGUAAACCUCUUUUGCCGGGGAGCAAGGGCGGGGACGUGUCCCGGCCCGGAGAGUACCCGGAGAAAAAGCAUCGGCUAACUCCGUGCCAGCAGCCGCGGUAAUACGGAGGAUGCGAGCGUUAUCCGGAUUUAUUGGGUUUAAAGGGAGCGUAGACGGCUGUGCAAGUCUGAAGUGAAAGCCCAGGGCUCAACCCUGGGACUGCUUUGGAAACUGUGGG
rnacentral:rRNA from 1 species